rnacentral:tRNA from 1 species
AUUUAAAUAGUUUAAGUAAAAAUAUUGAUUUGUGAUAUCAAAGAUAUGGUUAUUCAUUUUAGAUA